CUGGAAUUCGCCCUUACUCCUACGGGAGGCAGCAGUGAGGAAUAUUGGACAAUGGGUGGAAGCCUGAUCCAGCCAUCCCGCGUGAAGGAUGACGGUCCUAUGGAUUGUAAACUUCUUUUGUACAGGGAUAAACCUGCCCUCGUGAGGGCAGCUGAAGGUACUGUACGAAUAAGCACCGGCUAACUCCGUGCCAGCAGCCGCGGUAAU
rnacentral:rRNA from 1 species